AUUGAACGCUGGCGGCAUGCUUUACACAUGCAAGUCGAACGGUAACAGGGUGCUUGCACCGCUGACGAGUGGCGAACGGGUGAGUAAUGCGUCGGAACGUGCCGAGUAGUGGGGGAUAACGCAGCGAAAGUUGUGCUAAUACCGCAUACGUACUGAGGUAGAAAGUGGGGGACCUUCGGGCCUCACGCUAUUCGAGCGGCCGACGUCUGAUUAGCUAGUAGGUGAGGUAAAGGCCCACCCAGGCGGAGAUCAGUAGCGGGUCUGAGAGGAUGGGCCGGCACAGUGGGACUGAGACACGGGCCAGACGCCUGCGGGAGGCAGCAGUGGGGAAUUUUGGACAAUGGGCGAAAGCCUGACUCAGCCAUGCCGCGUGUCUGAAGAAGGCGUUCGGGUUGUAAAGGACUUUUGUCAUGGAGGAAGUCCCUAGUGCUAAUAACACUGGGGGAUGACAGUACCUGAAGAAUAAGCACCGGCUAACUACGUGCCAGCAGCCGCCGUAA
rnacentral:rRNA from 1 species